UGUAUGUGUGUCUUUUUAAUAAAUAUUUUUCUACCUUGAAGUCAUACAAAUAUUUCUUUCACAUUUUCAUUUAAAAGUUUUACAGUUUUGCCUUCAAUACUUCGGUCCUUAGUUCAUCUGGAAUUUAUUAUGAUGUAUAUAUAUCCACUAAUCCAGUGUCAUAAAUUCAAACUUAUUGAAUUAUAUAUCCUUUACCCACUGGUCUUUAAUGACCAUUCUUCACAUACAAGGGGUCCUGACACUCUUUCCAUUCUAUUCUAUUGGCCCAGUUGUCUACUCCCUCUCUCACCAAUAAUAGCACAUGGUCUUAAAUCCAGUGGUGUAUAUAAUAUCUUCUCAUGUAGUCAGGAAAUUCCCCAACUUCCUCUUUAUUUUCAAUGGUAUUUUGGCUCUUCUUGAACUUGUGUUCCUUCAUUUCAUUUUAAUAUCAUUGUGUCCAAUUCUAUAAAACAUUUUGUUGAAAUUUUUCUAGAAAUAGCAUGAAACUAUAGAUCACAUUGGGGAAAACUGGCAUUUUAAUGAUAUUGAUGCUUCCUAACCACGAAUGUAUCUCUCCAUCUGUGCAGCACUUCUUCAACUUCUUUUAAUGAUUUUAAUUUUCCCCACUAAGAUCUUGCAUGCCUUUCCUUUUUGAGAAUUUAUUCCUGAUUACAGUGGACCCUUCAACAAUGCGAGGGUUAGUAGCACUGACCACCUGUGCAGUCAAAAAUCUGCACAUAAUUUUUGACUCCUCCAAAACUUUACUAAUAGCCUACUGUUGAUCAGAAGUCUUACCAAUAACAUAAAGUUAUUUAACAUAUAUUUUAUAUUUUUAUGUGUUAUAUACUGUACUCUUACAGUAAAGUAAGCUAGAGAAAAGAAAAUGUUGGCCAGGUGCGGUGGCCCAUGGCUGUAAUUCCAGCAGUUUGGGAGGCUGAGGCAGGAGAAGUGCUUGAGACAAGGAGUUGGAGACCAGCCUCAGCAACAUAGCGAGACCCCAUCUCUACAAAAAAUUAAAAAUUUAGCCAGGUAGGGUGGCGUGCACCUGUAGUCCCAGCUACUUGGGAGGCUGAGGUGGAGAAUCGCUUGAGCCCAGGAGGUUGAAGCUACAGUGAGCCAUGAUAACACUGCACUCUAGCCUGGGCAACAGAGCAAGACCUUGUCUCAGAAAAGCAAAGAAAAUGUUAUUUAAAAAAUCAUAAAGAAGAGAAAAUAUAUUUACUAUUCAUUAAGUGGAAGUGGAGCAUCAUAAGGGUCUUCAUCCUCAUGUCUUCAUGGUGAAUAUGCUAAGGAGGAGGAAGGGGAGGAGAGGUUGGUCUCGCUGUCUCAAGGGUGGCAAAGGCAGAAGAAAAUCAUAUAUAAGUAGACCUGCACAGUUCAAGCCCAUGUUGUUCAAAGGUCAACUGUACUGUAAGUUUGUUAUAUUAACCAGUUAAUCACAUUUCUACUUUUUUGUUUUUAUAGAAAAUGCAAUAGAUUUGUUUAUAUAUUUAGCCAACCACUGUGCCAAACUCUUAAUUCUUAUGUUUUAGAUUAUUUUUCUCUGUAGACAAUUGUAUCAUCUAUGAAUAAUGAAAGUUUGCUUUAUUUCAUUCCUAUCCUUCCAACUUUUUUUUUGGUCUGUUGUUAAAAGCCCCCCUAUCCCAUGCCUAAGUAAUAAGUAAUCUCAAUAUUACAUUCCAUCUCAUAUAAUAAAAUUUGACUUCCUAAAAGGGCUUUCUUCUUUUUAAUUCAAUGUCAAUGCUGGAAUUUCAGUUCUUAGCCUUGAAACCCUGGUGAAAAACUUCUCAGCAAGGUAAGAAGGAAAAAAAUGUUCUCCCCUGCUCCUGAAGCUGGGGAGAACAAUAAAUGAAAACUGUUGUCAUAAAUGGUUAUUUCUAACAAUUUUUCAAACCCCUAGACUUCAAAUAUUUUGGACAGGACCUGACAAAAUGACCCUUAAUCUGUAAAACAUCUGUACUUUUGACCACUCAUCUUUCUUAAUAAUUCAGUUCUCUGGUGAUAAUGUUUGAGCUUAAAAUCUCUAUCUUCAGAAGGUAACGUGAUUUGUGAAUUUUCUGUCAAAUGAGAAAAGAAUCACUGGCAUUGCCCUCUUCCCACACAUGCAUAGGAUAAAAUAGCUCUACUGGACUUUUUAUUAAUCAAAGAGCCCGAGAGACAGCUGAAUGGCUGAACCAAGCAGAGAGUGGAAACUUGGGGAGGGUAAUUCCUUGCUGGGCCUUAAAAGGAGUCCACAAGAUAGGAAAAAAACGAAAAAGCCAAAUAAGAUGAACCUCUAUUCAGGCCCCAAUGAGAGGCUGCUUGACUCUGAUCUUUCGUUAGCUGGCUCAAAAUUUUGUUCUUAAAGAAUUAUUUUUACUCAAAAUCAAGAACUGUUAGAAAACAAGAAAAAUUAUGGAGUUUUGUUGUUGAUUUCCACCUCUCUACAUAUAUAUAUGAAAUACAUAUCUCCUCCCGAUACACAUGCACACACGCAAAAACAUAUUUAACUGAAACAACAGUUUCAUGAAACUAUAGUUACUCUCAUUACCUGUGAUGCAGGCAAGUAUUUUCAAUUGUAUUUUAUUCUAUUUCAUUCUUCUUGGAAAAAAAGUCUUUUGGUCUCAACAUAAAUGGGUUCUGACCUGCAGUUUCAAGCCAAUACGUUACACAGUAAGAGUAAAUGUAGGGUUUCUCCCAGUUUUAUCUGGCAGUCCCAAAGUCAGGAUCAGAGUAACCGAUGGAGCAUCAUCUGUACGCUCCACGUCUGAGGAGGAGGUCUGGGGAAAGAUCCAACGUGUAGGACUGGCGCGGAGGCUCAGGCCUGUAAUCCCAGCACUUUAAGAGGCGGAGGCGGGAGGAUAACUUGAGGUCAACAGUUCGAGACAAGCCUGGCAAACAUGGUGAAACCCCGUCUCUACUAAAAAUACAGAAAUUAUGCAGGCGUAGUGGUGCGCACCUGUAGAUCCAGCUCCUCGGGAGGCUGAGGCACGAAAAUCGCUUGAACGCGGGAGGCGGAGGUUGCAGUGAGACAAGAUCACACCACUGCACUCCAGCCUGGGCGACAGAGCGAGACCCUGUCUCAAAUAAAAAAAUAAUAAUAAUAAUCCAAUGUAUCCCUAGUCUGGCUUUCAGGGUCUUAGAUGAGGUUCGGAAGUGGACUUAGGAGCCUUAGGAGCGCAGCCAGUGCUGUGGAUUCCCACAUCCACGGGACCUGCGGUUUCGGGUUAUUCCACUCAGGGAUAGAUGACGUCCCUCAUUUCUACCUACCAGUGGGGUGGUCAAGAUUCUCAUUUAUCAAGUCAGUUGGAGUGGGCUUAAGUAAGUUCUCAGCCAAGGCUGUGGGGUCUGGAAGACCAGAUAUCCCGACCAAAAGCCCCCCCUCCCACUCCUUUCACACGCCUGCCGCAGAGGUGCACGGGUGCGAGUGGGGAAAUGAGGCAAGAAGCAGAUGGGGCGGCACCGAGAGAAGAGAAACUAUCCUAGAGGAAAAGCUCGAGCUGUUACCCCUCCCAACUUCUUCCGCCUUCCGCCUUCCCCGUUCCCCCUCUUUCCCCUCUUGCCCCUCUCCAGCUUUUCUGGUCCAACCCUCUUCUGCGCCUAACACUGGCACCUCCUUUUCUUCCGGCUGAUGAAUAAUUGUCCGCAUAGCAGCCUCUCUGGGGCACUGAGGGGCGGGAAGGUUAGAAGGAGCCAGGGCUAGAGUCCUGGAAGGUGGCAAUCAGGUCGCAGGGCCACAGGAGUCACUCUGGGACUCUCUCUUCCGGUGUUUCUCCAGCGCCAAGCGGGAGAAGACGAAGCCUGGGAGCUGGGACUGGAGGAGCGGGAAGCGCUGUAUCGGGACCACGGCUCUGGGACCAGGAACAACGCAGACUCUCCAGAGCCAAUGUCUACUUCAGCCAGCUCAAGGGCGCGACAACCUGGCGCCGAGCAUCUCAGGCCGCCGCGGGGACCCCCCCUAAGGGGCUCGGGAACACCUGCCUACUCUAGAAGAGGCGGAGAAUAACCCCGUAGGGAGUUAAGCGGCCUCGGCCUACAGCGUUCCUCCCGCCUCCACGGCGCCGAGCCCUGAUUGACGUUCAGCCAGGCCAAUCAUAGCCUCAGUGUCUGAGGCGCGCGGAGCUGGAGCGCCCAGGGCAGGUCCGCGGAUCCCAAGGAGGCAAUCUGUCAGGCGCCGCCGCCCGGGCGGCAGUAUGCCUGAGGGGGUCCUCCGUGUUCGCGCCUCCCGCCGCCUGCACUGAAAGGUCUGUACCUGAGCCUGGAUACUUGAACAGAGGCAGACACUGCGGCUCAAAACCCCAAGGUGAAAAGAUGGUGUUUCCAUGAAAGAAAAGGAAAAGUGGCUAAUUCAGCUUGCAACUCAAGUGUUUUUCCGAAAGACAACUAUAUUUCAGCAUGCAGUAGAAGUGUUUUAUGGGUACAUCACAUUGUGUCACAAAGAAUAUUUUUUAAAUGUGCUUAAGGGUUGAGAUUUAGUAGAAAAUAAUUUUUACAACUUCAUCAAGGACAUUAUUUUAGUAAAACUGUUUUUUUUUUUUUACUACGAAUGUGUGGUGGUGAAGAAUACAAUGACUACUAAUAAAAUUUGGUGCCAUUGCCUUAAUUCGUGCUAAGACACCAGUCAUUUUACCCACCAUUGGAUAAAAUCCACCAUUUUUGCACCAUCAGUGCAAAUGUUAACACAGUUAACACAGUUGUUGAGGAUAAACCACCAGAUUCAAAAAAGUCAUAUAACACUUUUAAUGUUUCAGAACCCCUGUUGCCCAGAAUUCACAUAAAAGAAGAUCAUCAAUGGUCAAUUGAUGCUGAUACCUGAUGAAUGAAAGCAAAACAGGAUGUAUAGCCAUCUGUAGAUCAGUCCCUUUGUAAGGCUAAGGUACAAUUCUUUAGAUGACAUAUUAACUCAGUCUUUACGUUUGCACUUAAAUCUUUAAUUUGACAAGUUAUUGCAUCAUUGGAAAAUGCCAGCACUAUGCAUUCUUGUGGUGAUUUUUCAUCCAGCAGGUAUUCAGCAAUGUCAACUGUUCAAGCCUUUAUUAGUCUCUCUGUGAUUGUGUGUGCUCCUCUAGCCAAUACAAUAUGAUGGCUUAUCCUGUAAGAAGCUUUUAAAGAGUGUAUUACAUCUACAUUUAGGUUAUUUAAUUCCUUUUUUUAAUAAAUUCUGAAUGAUUGGUCCCAAAAUGAUACUGCAACUUUGUUGGAACCAUAUAAGUGUUUGAAAAUGUUUUACUGCACAAGACACAAUAUGAUAAAUUAUUAACAUCUAUAAAGCUGAACGAAAGAUCACUUUCAACAUAUUUUUGUUGUGUAUAGUUGUGCUCAGUUUCUUUGGAAUAGAUUUCUCCUUUUUAUGAGGAAUCAGAUAACUUGCUGAUAUGUCAAUGUCAUCCUUUUCAGCAUCUCUAGACAUAGGCGAUCUAGACACCAGAAAAUGUGUUUUCCCUUCUCCCUUUUUAAAGCCAACCAUCCACCCUAUUCAGAUAAAAUUUUUUAAUUAAAAACAUUUUUGAAAAAUAUAUUAUUGCAAAACAACAAAGUAAACAUACUUUUUGUUAUAUUUCUGUGUAAAAGGAAAAACUUUAGGAUUUAAAAAUGAUUUCUUGGAAGAUAAUGAGAUUACAGAGAUUAUAAGAGGUAUAACUGAAGAUAGCUGGUAAGAGCAUGGUAGAAAAGAAAUAAUUUCUGAAAACUACAUACUUAUACCGUAAACUCACUACCUUUGAAAACUCUAGAAAAUACAAUACACAGGCACACAAUCUGUUAGGUAUCAGAGAAAUAGUCAUCACUAUUCAUCACAUGCCAUUGUUGUCUUUGGCGAACCCUUCUGUACACUUAUGAGAGUGAGAGUAAAAAAAAGGCAAAUAACAUCUUAAUUUUCUGAAUAUUUUUGACCUUGUUGACCCUCUAAAAGGAUCCAAGGGAUCUCUCCCUCCCAACAUCCCCAGGAAUCCUCUGAUCACAUUUUGAGAACUGUUGGAUAAGUCAGUUAAUAUUGCAGGAACAUAGGCUAUCACCAUGGGGAAUAAAUGAAACCAGAUCUCUACCUCACACCAUUACAAAAAUAAAUUUUAAAUGAAAUAAAAGGCUAAAUGUGAAAAGGUAAAGGUUUAAAGCUUUGGGGGGAAAAUGUAGAAUAACUUUAUUAUCUCAAGGUAGGUAGCCUAACUAUACCACGUGCUGAAGCAGAAAUGUGAAGAAAUGGGAAUUUGCAUAGAAUCUUGGUGGAAGGGUUAGUUUUCCCACUUAUUUCAACUACUUAUUUCACAUAUGCAGUGUUGUACAAAUUUAAAGAGACAAGUAUCCUACAGACAAGCAAUUCUAUGUUUAUAUGCCCUAGAGACCUGAAGACAUUCUCAAAUACAAAAACAAAAAAGUAUGCAUAAGGAUGUUCAUUGCAGGUUUGCUUAUAAUUAGUGGAAAGUCAGGGGAUGCCCAUCAGUGCAUAAAAAAGUAAAUAAAAUUGUGUUGCCUUUCUACAAUAUAUUAUGCAACCAUUAAAAUAAACUAAAUGUCCAUAUUUCACAAGGACAAUUCUCACAACAUAAUAACAAAUGAUAUGCACUAACUUUAAACUAGUAAUUGCAUCUGGUGAGGGAAAAGAAAGGUGGACCUGAAGUCAGGUGCAAACAGCACAACUGUAUUUGAGUAGUGGUUGCAUGACUGUUGUUCCAUGUAUUUUCUGUAUGUUACAAAUAUUUACUAUUAAUUACAACAACAUAAGAUGUACUGUAACUCCUUCAUGCUGCUAAUUAUAGAAUAUCUACUUUGUUGACUAAACCCUUUAGCAUAUAUAUAUAUAGCCUAUUUCUGUUAAUGGUUCUUUGGAUAAAUAACAGUUGACUUUGUUCCUCUGCUUAGUAUUUUAAAAAACCUAUUAGUUUACCAAUCUCUUACUAAUUUUAGUUUUAAUAUUUGUAUUGUUAAGUAUUUUAAACACACAGAAAGACUAAUAAACCCCCAUUACCCAAACACCCAGAUUUAUUAAAUCUUAGUAUUUUGUCCUAUUUGUUUCAAUGGUUUUUUUAAUAAAUCAGUGACUACAAUAAAAUUGAUACCUCUGAAUCCUUCCAUUUUCUUUUCACUGCCCCCAGAUAUAACCACCAAUGUGAAGUCAGUUUUAUCAUUGCUAUGCAUGUUUUUAAUAUUUUUACUAAAUGUUUAUGAAUUCUUAAACAUUAUGAAGCAUUAUGUUAUAGAGUUUUUAAGUUUUAUAAAAUAUUAUCUAAUACUGUUACUUUAAGAAAACCUGCAGUAACCCCUUCUGAAAAAGAUUAAUCACACAUAAUUUGUUACAUAUUAAAAUAACUGCUCCUAAAUAGUGAUGUGGCCUUGAGCAAGCUCUUUCAAGUUUCUGUGAGCUCCAGCUUUUCCUUAUCUGUGUGGUAAAAGAAUAUGAGACUAUGUCUGCACUCUCUUUCAGAUUAUAAGUCUCUAUAAAUUAUUCAACUCAAAUGUCCCCAUGGGUUUACUUAAAGGAUAGUUUUGUCCACUUAUGAACAACUCUGUUUCAUCAAAAUCAGAAUUUACUGAAUGUUCAUUCGUUUUAACUUUUUUAAGUGGUUUGUCACAGAAUUCCUUUCAAUGCUGAGAUUUUCAAAUAUAUUGCAACCAUCGAGAGGACAUUCUUGAAUAUUCACUAUGAGCCUGAUGCUAUGCAAGGUGCCAGAGAUACAAGAGGGAACUUGACAGGUACAGUCUGUCUCCCACAAAGCUUAUGGCUGAGUUUUUAAAAUAUAAUUCAAGCUUUUCAGGAAUACAGUCAAUCCAUAAAGCAAUAGGGAGAAAUAUUUCCAAUAUCAAGAGGCACUGAUGAAUGAAUGUGUGAAUAACUAAAUUUUAUAACUUUUUUUUUGUAGACAUAAAAAUAAGCAUUCACUGUGUCAUCCUUAAAUAAAAUCAUUGGCAGAGUGUAGCCUAUAAAUGUCUGGAAAUACCUCGCCAAAGGCUAGAAGACAUUUUGCCAGAAGGAAGUAAUGUUUACAUUUCUAUAUUUUGUUUCUUUUUCCUCUACAUAUGCAUUUUGUCCUAUGUCUAUGUCUCCUUCUUAAUAGGCUUUGACAUGAACCCAAAGCAAAUGUUUCCUAUUAUUUUAUCUAUUUAUUGAAUAUACAUUGUUUUCUGAAUGCUAUUCCUUUCAUUUACCAGUUCUAGUAGUCUGGAUUUGCUCUUAUUUCUCUUUACUCUAAAAUGGUUUUUUUAAUCUGUAACACAGAACUUAGUGCUUUGUUAUAUAUAGGAAGGCAUUGUUUUCUAAAAACACUGGUUUACAAAAUGGAAUGUGCACACUACAGGGAAUGUGCAAAUGAUCCUUGAGGAUACAGGAAGGAAGUGUUAAAGUUUCUAUUUAUUUUGGUAACUUAUAAACUUUCUAUUUGUUACAGUGUGAGUUCUGGUGUAUAUAGUCAAGCCAUAUGCUAGUACAUGGGAUAAUGUAUAAAUAAACAUGUAAGUGUUGAUAAGUACUCAACUCUUUUUUACUGACAGGGCUUUAGGCUUUUUUUUUUUUUUAAGUUUCAAUACCACAGUUCAAAUGUGUGUGUUGGUCUUAUCUAUGUAAUUGUUUUGUGUGCUCUUUCAGGGAAUGGUGGUGUCUUGUGUCUCUUACUCUGUCCAAAGGACCUUGUAUGUAUAAAUGUGAAUAAAUAUUUAUUGAACUCCA